ensembl:lncRNA
GUAAUUCCCACGUUGGUGUUGUUCCAGACCAUCUGAUCCCAGCCUCUGGAAGUCCUUCCUGCUGGAAAGCAGCAGUCCCUGUAUGAACUACGAGCACGGUUGAGUCGGAAGUCACCUUCAUAACAGCUUUGAUGUUUCAACGCUUUUUACAGGAGAUGAGAUUUGAUAACCUGCUUCCUGACCUGUGGAUAGAGAGCAGAAUGAAACCCAAAUUCUUGAGAGAGUAACCAAACACCUCUGGGAAGAGCCGCAGAACAGUCGGGCUGAUUUGUAGGGCCGUGGGUUUGCCAGGAAACCUCCCUGAGCUAUUACUUUAAAUUGCCACUAAGUGGCAGCCAAGUAAAAAUUAUGGUAAAAUGAAACUUUCCCAAAUAAAUAUUUCAUCUAACGUCAGCGCAAGGUGCAGCAGCAUCAACAGAAUUCCUGAGCCGUGUGGUGCCCGGGAAGCUACACCAAGGGAGGAGAUGGCAAUAAGAGGGAUCUGUGGGAAUCCAUGUGGGUUUUCCUUGGGAGGAGCACAGUGUGCAGCAUGGUGUGCUUCCUGACUUGUUACAGAACCACAGAAUCAUUCAGGCUGGAAAAGACCUCUAAGACCCCCAAGUCCAGCCCCAGCCCACCCCACCAUGCCCAUAAUCACAUCCCUCAGUGCCACAUCCCCACUGUUCUGGAGCAUCUCCACGGACGGUGACCCCACCACUCCCUGGGCAGCUGUGCCCGUGCAGCACUGCUCCUUCAGUGAAGAAAUGUUUCCUAACUUAUCUCUUUUUAAAAAUCAGUCUAAAUAGGUUCAGGACAUCGAUUAAUUGCCAUAAGCACGUGCGUGCUUGGCAUAAAGGCAGGGUAGAAGACUUGCAGCGUUUCCUUCCCCCUGUAAAUGAGCACUACGCCAUCCACUUGCAAAACUGAGAUUCCCCCUGGGUAACACUUGGCUCUGAUGCAUUAUUAACCAUUUUAAUUUUUAAGUGGCUUGAAGAUACCCAGGUAAAGCGAGGCAGAUCUGGGUCAGGCACACUGCGCAGCAGCUUUCAUUAGCAGCUGUGCAGCUUUGUCACCUCUGUGAAUCUCAGGGAGCCCGGGUACCUCCCCUGCUCUGCAGUGGAGCUGGAUCAGAGAUGACCUCUUCAGGGAGAAAUGGUAAUUGGAAGCGUCGGUUAUCUGAAACUUUUAUCCAAAAAGACAGCAUCCCAGGCACCGCGCCAACCUGCUCACAUUUAGAAUGUUUUAGGAUAUUUGAAGGAAGUCACAUGCACGGCAUACAUUUUAAUGCUCAAAGGACUCUUGAGAUAACAUAUGUAUUUUUUCCAAGCGUAAGGCAAAUAGUGGGAAGGGAGAGAUACGUAUCACAAAGUCAGCUGAAAACGCUGGGGGGAAGAUCUGUCUUCAGCCACCAGCAAGUGCUCCGUGUUGAUCCAUACUGCUAUUUCUGAGAGCGUUUUGUUAACCCAAAGGUCACCACGAGUGACCACGUUCUCAGCCUGGAGUCCGCCUGUUUCCAUCGCCACCUCCCUUCAGUCUUUGAAGGGACAGGGAAAAAAAAGCCUCACCUUGCUUCAGAAUGCUGUGUUUCUGGAAAGAUUAAAUGAAGAGAUGAAAAUGCAGAGCAGAACAUGCCCAGAUGUGUCAGCUGCUCUCCCCACGGAGCUACCAACUCAUUCCAGGUGCUGAUUUACUCCUUGGGUUUUCUUUGUGGUUUACCUCAGCCCAGACUCAGCCAGGCUCUGGGUGCCCAUGCCUUUGGUGUCGCAUUGCCAAACAGCAGCAAGCUGCAAUAGUAUCAGCUCAGCAGUGAUGUGCAGACACCUGGAAGUCCCUCAGCAAAGCCAUGUUUGGCAGUGAGUCCUGUCUGGGCGGUGCUCCUGGAGCUGACUGCAUCCCAUAUCUCACCAGGUGUGCGCCUGGCAUUCACAGAGAACGAAGUCCUGUGCACCACAACCACAGGAAGGAUGUGGGGAGCCGUGAUCCUGUGCAGCAAAUCUGCGCCUUCUAAGCUGCUUCAGGUGUUCACAUCGAGACCAUCACCAGCGAGGCCACUGUUAAUCACUUUUCAUCCUGAAGAAGGACCCCAGCUGACUGAUGCCUCUUAGAACCAUAGAACCGUUAAUGUUGGAAAAGAUCACCAAGUUCAACCCCAAUCCAUCCCCACCAUGCCCUUAACAGCGUCCCUCAGUACCACAUCUCCAUGGUUCUGGAACACCUCCAGGGAUGGUGACACCACCACUCCUCGUGCAGCUGUGCCACUGCGCCAUCGUUCUUUCAGAGAAGAAAUUUUUCCUAAUAUCCAACUCUUCAAGACCAAAGUAGUGUUACUUGUUAUCAGACUGGACAGAAGGGAUCUGAGCCAGGACUGGGCAGUGGGGACCAUCUUGCUGUCCUCUCACAUGUUGGCGCUCAUCCCGGCCUCUUCACACACAAAGGUAAGGUGUCACAUGUUUCUGCACUACAGUGAGCUGACAGUUGGGCAUUUUCUUGCCAUCACUCUCUGUCUUCUGGCAGUGGUUGGUAGUGCUGGGAUUGGGACUCAUUUUCAAAUGAGCGUUGUGGUGGUGAUGGGCUGAUGGUUGGACUAGGUGAUCUUAGCGGUCUUUUCCAACCUUGAUGAUUCUGUGGUCCAAAUGUCUUGCGGCUAUUGAGCAGAAGGCAGCAAAAGAUAGCCUGUCCCUUGGGGACACCCAGCCCAGAGCACUGUGCCCUUUGCUAGGGAGCAGCGUGGGCUCUGGAUGUGGCAGCAGUGGAGCAGUGGUAGGCAGUGACAGAGCUGGUUUGUGUCACUCCUUCAGCCCUGCCUGUUAAACCAGCUGGUUUCUGCAGGCUGCUUGCAGAGGAAGAUGUCUUAUUAGAGUGUAAAGAAAUUCUGUGUGGUGAGCUAGCAUGGUCAGAUGUCCUGCACUCACAAGAGAAAUGCAGCUGCUCUGUAGAUCUAACAAGAUGUUGUGCAACGUGAUGGAUAGAUGUGAUGCAUGAAACGUGACAUGUGUCUGUGGAAAUAACGUUAGAAAUCCUAAUUCUUGGCUUAUUGGUAUGAAACACAACUGAAGAGGAGAAAUUCAGCUAUUGCAGAUAGAUUUCCAACAAACAUAAAUAAAGGAGCCUUUACCAUGCUUUAUUUCAACUUCACUGACCCUUUCCUUCCCAGAAGCUAUUGCUAUCUUGGUCUCCAUUACAUGUAGAAAUUACGUGAUCGGCAAGAGAUCUCUACAGAUGUCACCUAAAGGUAAUCGAGUAGUAGAGGAGGAACAAGGUUGAAGGAGGGGAAAGGCAAAAGUACAAAUGGUCUGUUAUCUUUGCUGAGUGCGAGAUACAAACUUGCAAUGGAUCACCAUGUGAAUCAACAAAGCAGCAGGAAUAGGAAUGCUCCAAUCCAGCUUGUAAAAACAAGCCAGUGGCCAGGCUCGUCUUAUUUGUCUCUUUUUCUGACCCAUUUAGAUUCCUUCCUCUUAAAGGACGUUUCCUCAAAUGGCAGUGUUUAACUAAUGCAGAAUUCCUACAUCUGAAGGACAGUCUGUGAUCCAGUCCAUUGACUCCUGAUUUCAUUUAAACUGCAAUUCAUUAUUUUCUUCCUGUGCUCAUUCAAGAACCCAUUGUUCAUUACUCUUUCAUCACGCUAUGAUUGGAACAAUUUGUAUCUGUCGCUCAUACAUUGGCCAGAUAAUGAAAUAAUCAUUUGUGCAUCUACACAGUAUUUUACAUUUAUUUUUCACAGUGUAAUUCACUUUGUAGGGUCAUUUUAUCAUUCUGGAACAAAUUGUGAUCUUGUUUAAGCAUUUGGUAGUUGGCAACAGUCUGCUACUGCCAAUGUCAGGACACAUGUCUGAACAGACAGACAGAAUGGCAGGGAAGUAAUUGCUGAUCCUCCAGUCAACAAAACCAGCCCGUCUUCUAGGAGGAAGGAUUCUUUUGCCACUGUCUUUGUCCACAGAACACCGAUGUUAUUGAGCAGCCUUUCCCAAGGUUUGGGUCAGCCCAUCGGAGACAGGCAUAAUAAGAAGGGAUAAGAUUACCUUAAUAAAAAUGAAACUGGACGAUAACGCACCCAGAGCACAAUUAUAGCACUAUUCAAAUGAGCUCCUAUUCUCAAAGAGGUCAGUGAGGUUAUGAUUUCUAGAGGAGUCAAGAGAUUAGGAGAAUAAACUAAUUAUUCUGACAUGGAAUAGAUAGAAAGGUGAUUGCUGAUUGGUUAAUUCAUUUUUCUUCUGUAAAUCUAUUUCUGUUCAAUUAAUUAAAAUGACACAUAUGUUAUACUCUCCAAAUAUCACACACAUUAUUAUGUAAAGGUUGAGUUAGUCAUUAUGUUGGAAAAGGUCAGGGCUUGAAUUUAAUGCUGGAGGGAGAUACUGUCUUCCAUUCACUUGUCAUAAUUACCACCCCGUUCCCGUCCUACCCACUGGUGGGAUCUCAGCUAUGGUUUUCAGUGGACUUGCCACACUAAGAGUUUUGGACAUCCAUCGAAAAGCUUCUCCAACAAAAGAAAGAUUAAACCAAAAAAAUAGUCUCUAAAUCCAUUCCUUUGGCAUGUGAGCUGAGCUGUAUCACUAGCAGGAUUUGUAAUUCUGUCUUCACCUAUUGCAAGGUAAUGCCAGAAGUCUCUGGGACAUGUGAAGGUUCUUUUGUGUUGGGCAUCUUGCCCAAACAGCAUCACGGGGUAUUUGGUUGGGUGAGAUGUGAAUGCACAAAACAGACCUGAGGAUAAAGAGAGGAGUGGGUACUGUGCUUCAGCCUCAGAGCCAUUGACUUCAAGAUUCUACUGGGUCAACCCUGUGCUCCUAAGUAAGUUUGAUGGAUGCAAGCAUUGAGGCACUUUAUGGUACUGAAGCUUAUAAAAGACCCUUUGUUCAUCCCUUCAGCUCCACAGGGCAACGUAACAGCAGAGAUUAUUUUUGCUACUGGUCAACAGGUCAGUGUCAGUGAUGAGUGAACCAUAAAAAUGAACUAUUCUUGCUGUUAAACCUGGAGUGUUCCUGUACAAUCAUGGGUGGACUCAGAAAUAGCCUUGGAAUAGCUAGAAACGUUUCACUCGGCCACUUCCAACAUUGUAGGCAUAAGUGAAGAAAUAGAAGAAGAAAUGAAUGCCAUUGAGGUGAGUAUGGACAAGGCACAAAGUGGUGUUGCUACUCUGUCCUGGGAAUGACUUAUCGUUUCAAGUCCCCUGGGAGGGUGACAGUCUUUGGUGCAUCUACUAUAUGGGCUCACUGUCUUUGGCCUUCAGUGCCAUCACUCCAAUAAAUUCCCCCAUUUCCUCCAGGAAGCACUAAAUCUUCUAAAAAAUGGAGGAGUCCAGCUGGACAUUAACUGGCAUUGUAAAAUAGCUACAGAGUAUUCCAGGUUAUUAUCAGGUAAGGAGUUCAAAAAUUUGUUUAGAUUGUUUGAAAUGGGAAUAACUGAGAGGACACUCAUAGCCAAAGGGUUUGCCAGUCUAUAAACAUAAAUUUGUGGUUACAUUUGUAAAUGUAAUGCCUUGUGUUAGACGUUGUACACUUAUUUUAAUGCCUAGAAACACUCUUUUAGUAAAUAUAUUCAUUCUUCUUAGUUACGCUCCAUUAACUGGUGUUUAGUUAACGUGCAUACAGACUGUAUCAGCAAUUUUAAUAGAGCAAGAAUGGGAAGAAAAACUGUAAGACAUGAGCUGGCAUCAGAUUUAUCUGGAGGGAGAAAAUAUCAGCAGAAACAAACUGUCGCAGGAUGUUAAAAAAUCACCUGCUUCUUAGAGGAGAUACAAUUGGGUAACGAUCCAUGGAAACAUGAAUGUUUCAGAUUGCGUAUCUUCUAUUCAAAUUUAUGACCAGCUGUCAGAGCACUGGUGCCCCUCACUCCAUGAGAGGAAUUGCUCUUUGCCGAGCAGUAAUGAGCAGAUUAUGGGUGGUGCUGGAAAAAGUAUGGAACUCUUUGAGAAAUUGCAGUGCAUCGUAUUAACUUCUCUCUGAUGUUAGCAAUUUCCCAUCAUAUUGUAUUACCAAUCACUGUCACUAAUAUACCAUGAAAUUCAGAUGUAUAAUGUAGUGUACAACUCAACCUCUCAUUUCAAAGGUUUGUUACCCAUAAUCCUGCAUGAGUCAUUAGUAAUGUCACUGAACAGAGGAAAACUCAUUCACUUCUUACAGUGUUUCCCCUGCUGGCAAAUAUCUGACAUAUUACACGUGGGCACAAUGCAAAAUUCUCCAGAGAGCCUUGAUUGCAGCAAUGUGGAAUGUAUGUCUCUUUAAUGGGCAAUCAGGUCUACAUGCAGCCCCCAACUAUCCCAGCAUAGAGUGUCCCACCGGAUGGCUGAACAGCUGGGCUCUUUGAUGGAGCAUCUAUUUGUUGCUCUAAAUUAUUUACCUAUUGAAACGUAGUUUGUAGUGUUUUAAAGGCAAGAAUAAGCUAAGGGGUAAAAAUACCCCCGUUGAAAAAAUGGAAAAAUAUCUGAGCGUGGUUAAAAUUUGGGAAAGAACUUAAAAUUUUUUAGGAGUUGGUCUUCCUCACAGAUACCACUUAAUGGCUUGUAGGUCGGGGAGGAAGGCUGGCACCCAGACCCCUCAGGAGCACACAGCACAGGAGCAGAAGCAAGACGUGCUGCCAACUGCAUGAAAGUGAGACUAGAAUGAAACCCAGAUGUUGCUCUGCCCCUCCAAGAGGAGAAGUAUGGCUUUAGAGAGUCUCAAACUGUUGUGUAGUUGUGUUCCACAAACUGCCUGAACUUUACCUGGUUGGAUCACCUCUCUCACCUGGGGAGGUCACUCUGAGCCACAAUCCCGUUGCUCAUAGUUGGGAAUUUUCGUUUAGUUUCAAUUUCCUCAUUUGUCUUAUGUGAAAGUUAAAUGUGAUGGUGUCAAAAGCCUUCCUGAGUCAAGAUAUAUGAUGUCCACUGCUACCCUUUUCCUGCACACUAAUCAUCUUGCUAUAGGAGGGAGGUAGGUUGGUUUGCUGUGAGUUGCUGUGAAAUUUGUUGGCCAUUUCCCACCUUCUUACUGAUGGGCUACGCAUAGGGCAUUGGGUUGUUGUCCCUGUUGUUUUUGCAGGUGGUAGGUUGUGCAGCAGGUCUGCACUUCCCAAGGUGCCUCCUGCACAGGCAGGUAACGUUGUCCUCUGCAUCCCCGGAGGAGAGCUGAUGCUUCUGGAUUAACUUCAGAGCCAUAUCUGGAAAUGCCAUCCUCUUCCUUAUCCCUUAGGAAUACAUUAAUGGAUGUUUAUUCAGUUGCUUGUUUAAAUUAAGUCAUUCUUGCUACUUAUUUUAUUUUUAGUCUUCAACAUAAGCUAUUUCUGUUUUCUCACCAUUCUUUCAUCGAGUCCAAGAUCAGGUCAAGAGCCUCAGAGCUGAUGUGUCAUUUUGCUCAUGACAGCACCCUGACAAGCGGAUGCGGCAGUGUGUUUGAGGCAUCCAGAGAGGAGGAAAAAAGCACAUUUAAAGCAGGUGAGGCACAUGGCAGGCUGAAUAGCAGGAUGGCAGCAUGUCUGUAAGAUCACCUGCCAAGGCACUGCUGUCGCUUCUUAAUUUCGCCUCACGCUGGGCCGUGUGGAGGUGAUGCUGCAGCCGUACCCCCAGCUCACGCUGCUGCAAAGCUACAGUCAUUAAUGCUGAAAGCAGUGAGGUUCAUUGUCGAUUCUCCCAGCAAUAGUGUGUCAGUAGAGAGACAGGCCCAGUGGUUCCUGCAUCGCCAAUUUGAGUACUUAGCCUGCCAGUCCCAAUUUAUUUCAUGAAGUGUCUGCAGUCUCCAAGUUUGCUAACGUCACGAUGGUGAUGUAUCUAUUCUUGUCUCUGAAAGGAUGCAAAAGGGACAUUAGAGCCAGCACAACUCCGUUAAAUACCUUGUUGGCAGGGGAUAUCAGAAAUGCAAUCUGCUUUUUAAGCACAACUUGCUAAAUAUUAUAUUUCACGGAGUGCAUCGUUAUUAGCAAUGAUGCUUGUGACAGUAGCAUGCAUGGCAUUUUCCUCUACAUGAUCUGGCUGACAGCUUAUGACCUGAUUGGCAUGCCAAUAUUUUUGCUUAUACAAAUAACCAGACAGCUACAGUCAAAAGGUAAUUAAAAAUGAGAUCCAGGCUGCCACCAGUUUAAAUCAGGCUAAAGACACAGUGACCCAGCAACUCUCAGUGACACUGUCAGCAACAUACCGUCAUUAACUCUUGCAGUCUGGCUUGGGAGCAAAGCUGCCAGGUGUCACAGUGCAGAGGUGUGUUAUCUGCAGCACUGUGCUCCUACACCGGGGUGCUGUGUGCUUUAGAGAGCUAGGCAGGAACUUUCAGCAAAAGAAUUUCUCAACAGAAAAUAUCAGUUCAUCCAGCUUGGCAGAAAAUACAAGCUCUAGCAAAGCAUGAGGGUUAUGGCAUUCACCAGCAGUGGCUUUCUUAUUCCAAUCUUGUUUUAGGAAGCCCUGAGUGAGUGCUCAGGCCAGGGCUGCACCGUGCUGGUUCUCUCCCAUCCUCAGUAUCCCAGGAUUCAAUUCUGAUGCUUUGGAAGUCUCAGAGCUAUUUCUGGCUGCCUCCACCAGCAUACCCCUGCAUGGUGUAUAAGAGACAGGAGGAAUAGCAAGGAAGCCUUUGCUGCGAAUCCCAUUUCAGCUCAGCACUUCUGUAAAUUUAAGAAUUUGCAUAAAAACUCCACGUCUCUACUGUGAUUGCUAAAUUGGGCUUUAGGAGAAAAUGAUUAGAAAAAAAAAAAAGAAAAGAAGCAACAGAAUGGAAUAGAGGAAUCUUUAAGUGCCUGCAUACAUCUUGUAUCUUCGUGUCACAUCUUUGGCAAAAUUUUCUGGUCUAAUGGCCAGAAUGGGUCAAAGGUGUUCAGGUAAAGCAGAUGUCUAAAGGCUUCUCCAGACGUGGCUGCUGAGCUGUAGGUCUGUGAGAAAGUAAAACUCAGACUAUGCCUAAAUGCCAGCCAUUUAUGUUUAUUGCUAGUUGUCAUGGGGUCCUGGUCUCAUUCUGCUUCUAACGAUUAUUUCUCACCAUUAGAAAUCGGCACUGGGACUAGGAGACACAGGUGAGACCCUGAGGCUGGGUCUGCCUUGCAGCUUGAAGACAGUGCCAUGGUUGUCUGUGUGGGGUGUUCACAGCAGAGCACCAUCACCCAGUGCUUGGCCUAGGGUGGGAAACCCAAAGUAGCUGCUGCCUGGAUCUUUGUCGUUGCACACAGCAGAGCUGUCUCCUAUCACAGUAUAUUGUUCAGCUGUGUCACUCACUGCCACAGGAGACUGGUUGCCAAAAGCUUAAAUGGCGCAAAAGGCAAUUAGAUGAGUUCAUGGAAGAGCAAUACAGCAAGGCCGAUAACACAUGGAACUUGCCUCAAGCGUAGGAAGUCACUAAGCAUAGCUCCCUGGAGAAUGCCAGAGCACACAGGCUGUGUGUCUGCCCUGGUCUGAACCUCUUCUUUAGGCAUCCGCAGCUCUGUGGAGUCAGAAACAGGAUAUUGGGUCAGGGGGAGACAACCUGGCCAUUCUCAUGGAGAUGGUUUGUUUUCAUCUCAUUUAGACAGCAAUGGAAGAUGUUACGUCUGUACGACCUCCUUCAUGAGUGGUGUGAGCCCUUAGCAUCUCUGAGAGCUGUUUCUGCUACACAGAACCUCUGCUCAACUUUAGGAGCCAGUGCCGAGGGGGGUGGCUGUCACUGUGGCAUUAAGGACAUGAUGAGUGGGCACAGUGGGGAUGGGUUGGUUGAUGGUUGCACUAAAUGAUCUUAGUGGUCUUUUCCAACCUUAAUGAGUCUAUUGUUCUUGCGUCCUGCUGAAGAGCAUUGUGCCUGUGUUGGGGUUUGCAUUGCUCAUAUUAGCGAGGAGGAGGGAUUUAAAGAGGGUGAUUUGGCAAUUCCAGUAUCAGCAGGAGCUGAUCCCAGCAGCCCAACAUAAUCACUGGGAAUGGAGAAAAUCCAGGAGGUUUCACUGGAACUGAGCAAGAGCUUGACAGCUGGCAAACGCCCAUGUAAGUAGGCAACUGGGGAGGGAGCUGGAGGAGGGUGGUGGUGUUCAGCAUCGCUCCUGGAAAUGUCGUGUCUCAGUACAGCCUGUAGAAAAUGUGUCCCUCUUUGCUGAGCCUACGUCCUCUGUGGUGCCCUUCUGCUGCCUGCUAUGGGGAUUGGAGGGGAAGCAGUGGCUGUGGGCAAGCUGUGGCCAGCCCCAACGAACCAGCAUGGUUCUUCUGGCAUGAAUCUCUGCUCAGACAGUCUCUAUUUCUUUCAAUACACCAUGGACAGCUCAAAAGAGCUUGACCAUCCUCCAGUGAUGGCCUAUGAGCCAUCCACAUCCUUAUGCUCCAAAAUCCCUCCCUGGCCUCCAUUUCCUGCAGUUUUGCCCAGUGCAUGAAAUAUAAUGCUGAAGUGAUGAGUCCACAUUCCCAUUCUAACAUCAAAAUUGUGUUUGUUUUUUUUUUCCCUGCAUGUAAAUAAUAACUCUGUUGUCUCAGGAUAAGCUUUUUUCACCUUGGUGUUUUCUCUCACUGAUGCCUGAUCACAAUACAUACUCGUGCUGGACGCUGUGCUUUCAUAAAGGAACAAAAUCAGCAAGUGACAUGUGAAGGCUCUAACUACAAAACGUAAUAUUUUCUAAUUUCCUGAAUGGCACUGUGCUAUUCAGAGUUUCAGAGGUAUCGUUUCCUAUUAUAGACCAUAUGCAGAGCGAGAUACACUCCACUAAUCCUCCGAAGAGGCUGAAUACUGAACAAUUAAAUGUAAUGUUAAAGAACCAGAUUUACAGGAAAUGUUUUGCUUUGCUGGUCACUGCUAAUAGUGAAGUUCUACAGGAAGGUAACAUUUGGUUUUCUGCAAUCCAGCCUGUCUUUGUGCAGGUUAUUUCUGGCUUCCUUUGAAAUGUUUAGUCUCAAGGUUCUCAAUAAUGACUUCUAUUUGGAUGUUCCUGCAGGCAUCCCCACCUGACUGAUCACAGGCUUCAGAAUCUUGUGGGUGUGUUAAUUUGAAUUAAUUAUAGCAUAUUUGACUUGCCUUUGCUGUAAAAUUGACUUGCCUAAUUUGCCCAGUAGAAGUUGUCACUAUUAAAUCCAGAAAGCUUAUGAGGAUAAAUAUCUGGGGAUUCUGGUGAUCUUCCAAAACACUUCAGACAACCCACGCUGAAAUCAGUCAGGCACGAGGUCCCGUGCCUGUGGGUAGGGUUGGUGAGCAUCCAGAAAUCCAGGUGCACGCAAAACCCAAACGUUUUACAUUUUGACAUUAUUCUAAUUCAGAGGGGAUGGGGGAAUGAUCUGGGAAAAAAAUAUAAUUAAAAAAUUACACUGUAGUGAGAGUGAAAGAAUUCUAUGCUGCCCUACAGAGCCAGACUCAUAUAUCCUGUCUUACUUUCAUGUGUGGCUGAGGUGUCUUUUUAUAUUGUUUCCUUUAAGACGCUUUGCACCAAGAUGAACCCUACUGGAAACUUGACUUUGCUGAUGCUCUACGUAAACUGCAUUUUCAUGGCAGUCCAUUAUGCAGAAGGACACUUCCUUGCUUAAAGGAUUCUCAAUGUCACCGGGUGGUGGCCAAGACCUGGGUGCUUCUUAAACGCUUGUGCAGACGGUGUGAGAGUCAGCGGGGCUUUGCUGAGGCUGGAAAGCUGCCAGAGAGCCCUUCCAGUGGCUGGCUGCUGGGAAAACCCAAAGAGCACAACUGGGAGCCUGAAUGACAUUGUUGAUGGGCCAGCAGCUGUUUGGAAGCUGCCAGACCUUUGCUGCUUGGUGAGCUUUUCUCUUCGAGCUUGGGAAAUGUCCCCAGUGGGAGCUGUGACCUGCCACUGCUGUCACCUGUGGGAAUGCAACACCUGCAGACCCCAGCCGGCUCCUUCCUGCUCCUUCAUCUUGGAAUACCAGCUGCAGGUUGCUUAUCAUCGGUCCGAGCCCUGAAGCAGAGGUACUGAUUCCGAUCUGCAGCUGCAGCCGGGCUUAAAUCUUGAUCUGCAAACGAUGUUUCUAUAAAGAGCAGGAAAGUUGGACUGCAUGUUCUCUCUGUUUAAAUGAAAAUACCUGCUCUUAACCCAAACCACGGCCAGUGCACCACACAAAAUGGGGCACUGGAGGGAAUAGGAGCACGCUAUCUAAUUUCCUAAUUUUCCCGUCAGCUUUCUGGCUUUCAAAAUGAUUGCGGCAGAAAUCUAUAAAACGAGGACGAGGGGAGCAAACUUAAUGCCGCCGUAAAUCUCCAAAAUGGAUGCAGAAACACAGUGCUCAAAGAGGAGUAAAUAAAAGCACUGUCCUGUGUGCCCAUCUCCAGCAUCACUGCUCUUCCCUUUGGGAUGAACUCAACUGGGGCUUCGACUCAGGGAGCAGCAGGGGAGAUGCUCAAAACAAGCUGAAAAUAGAAUGCAUUGACUGCCGCCGCUGCUGUCAAGACAGAGAUGUCACCAGCUCCUUGACACAACCCCCAUCGGUGUUUCGCUAGAAAAGGGAUCACCAACAGAUGCAAUUUCUUCCAGUGCUGGGAUUGUGUUUAUUUUACUGGAAUUGUACUCCAUUUAUCUGGUUGCAAAGGGACAAGGUCAUUUAUAUUGGCAGCAGUGAAUGUACUGAGACUGGCAGUGGUCGCACGCUCACGGCUUGUUACCCAAGGAAAGUCCAGAGCAUACUAAUUUAUCCCACCGUGGAGCAGCAGUAGAAGAAAUGUACAAAUGGUAUCAAUCGGUCUUACAUUACUAACAGUGUAAACACUUUUUUCAGAUGAUAAAAGAUCCAAUAAAUCUACUUUAUUCCGUUUCAUUGUAAGGUCCAGUUCCUCCUUUCCAUCAUACAAACAACUUCCAGGUAGCGGGAGGGAUAUUGCAUUCCUUAUUCACAAAUCACAGUUUGACAGAUUAUUUGUAAUUUUCAGUGCCUACCUUCUUAUAUGGUGUUCAUAAAACGAGAUUAGAGUGAUUUACAAUAGCGAGAGAUGGAACAAGACUGAGAGGAGAUGUGACUCAUUAGACAUCAUCCUGAGCCUGUUGGAAGGAGCCUGCAUCGCUCAAGAAGGGAUGCUGUGAUUUUCCAGUCCCAGGGAUUUAGACUGACUUUGGAGGUAUUUCGGUACCAAAGCACCUGUUUUCCACCUGAAAACAUGACCUACUAUCCCUGCUUUUGCCUUUUGUGAAGCCAAAGAAGCAGUUCUGUGGGAAGGCUCCCUACCCUCCUUCUGACCCUCAAACUCUGUCACAGUGCUCUUGUGAGGCCCCAUCUGGAUUACUGUGUCCAGGCCUGGAGCCCCAGUACAAGAAGGAUGCAGAGCUCUUGGAAUGAGUCCAGAGAAGGGCCACUAAGAUGAUCAGAGGGCUGGAGCACCUCUCCUAGGAAGAAAGGUUGAGGGAACUGGGCUUGUUUAGCUUGGAGAAGAGAAGGCUCUGGGGAGACCUCAUUGCUGCCUUCCAGUACUUGAAGGGAGCGUAUAAACAGGA